AAGGCCUUAGUUUAAUUAAAACGUUUGAUUUGCAAUUAGAAAAUGCAAGAUAGAGUCUUGUAGGUCUUA
rnacentral:tRNA from 1 species